CAGCCCUAGACGAUGCGCGUUAGGUGUAUCGGUGACCACGAGUCACCGAGGUGCCGAAGGGAAACCGUGAAACGUGCCGCCUGGGAAGUACGGUCGCAAGGCUGAAACUUAAAGGAAUUGGCGGGGGGAGCACCACAACGGGUGGAGCCUGCGGUUUAAUUGGACUCAACGCCGGGAAGCUCACCGGAUAAGACAGCGGAAUGAUUGCCGGGCUGAAGACCCUGCAUGACCAGCUGAGAGGUGGUGCAUGGCGUGUGACUGU
rnacentral:rRNA from 1 species